rnacentral:lncRNA from 1 species
AGAAACUAACAAAUGUAUCAUUUCAUGUUUGCCUGCAGACACUGAAAGUCAUCUCUGCAGGAAGACAAGAACUCUAAGGAAACAUAGAUGCCUUCCACUAAUGAUGUUUUAUUCACACUAUGCAUGGCUGGACGCAUCCCUGCAGUUGGAGGAGAAAGCAGGAGAAGACGACCUCUUCUCUGUUGCUCACAGAAAUAUUCCAUGCUUUGUGCAAAUAAAGACCUCAAGAAUCCAGGAUUCAGA